GUGCUCACUUCAGCAGUACAUAUACUAAAAUUGGAAUGAUAGUGAGAUUAGCAUGGCCGCUGUGCAAGGACUUUUUUCCUUCUCAUUUUUGUAUCUUUUU
rnacentral:snRNA from 1 species